UACGAAGGGUGCGAGCGUUAAUCGGAAUUACUGGGCGUAAAGCGUGCGCAGGCGGUUCGUUAAGUCAGCUGUGAAAGCCCCGGGCUCAACCUGGGAAUUGCGGUUGAAACUGGCGAACUAGAAUCUGGCAGAGGGGGGUGGAAUUCCACGUGUAGCAGUGAAAUGCGUAGAGAUGUGGAGGAACACCGAUGGCGAAGGCAGCCCCCUGGGCUAAGAUUGACGCUCAUGCACGAAAGCGUGGGGAGCAAACAGG
rnacentral:rRNA from 1 species